rnacentral:rRNA from 1 species
CCUACGGGGUGCAGCAGUGAGGAAUAUUGGUCAAUGGACGGAAGUCUGAACCAGUCAUGCCGCGUGCAGGAAGACGGCUCUAUGAGUUGUAAACUGCUUUUGUACAAGGGUAAACCUGAAUACGUGUAUUCAGCUGAAAGUACUGUACGAAUAAGGAUCGGCUAACUCCGUGCCAGCAGCCGCGGUAAUACGGAGGAUCCAAGCGUUAACCGGAUUUAUUGGGUUUAAAGGGUGCGUAGGCGGAUUUAUAAGUUAGAGGGGAAAUGUCCGAGCUUAACUCGGGAACUGCCUCGAAUACUGUUGAUCUAGAGAGUAGAUGCGGUAGGCGGAAUGUAAGGUGUAGCGGUGAAAUGCUUAGAGAUCAUACAGAACACCGAUUGCGAAGGCAGCUUACCAAUCUAUAUCUGACGUUGAGGCACGAAAGCGUGGGGAGCAAACAGGAUUAGAUACCCGGGUAGUC